CAAAUCUCACAAGCAAUUCCAAAUCAACGGUUUUGGAGGAAAUUAGGGUUCUAAAAUGAAAUCAUCUCCAAAUCAACUCUUAUAAAUUAUGGUCGUGCGCUUUCUUCUUCAACUUCACUGGUAUUUUAUGGAAGAAACAGAAGCCACCAUAAAGUUUUGGAACUACUUUUAAGACUGCCAUAGACAAACACCUCGAAAGUCUUCAAUGGCUGGUUGUUAGUUGCAGGUUUGAUUUGAAAUUGCAAGUUGAAUCCCGUUAUAUCAGCCACCAAAUAUGCCAAGACUCAAAUCCUUUCUCUUAUAACCUGAUUCUUUUUUUAUUGCUUCCAUAAAAUCAACAAUUAGAAAAUUUUCAACCAAUAAAUCAAGGAUGUAUCUCUUCUCCAAAAUUGAAUAAGCGCACCACCGCCAUUGCUUCCUCAAAUCUAAAGGUUACAUCCUCCUCCAAACAAAAAAUUAAUCGAUAGCCUUCACCUACCAUUCCAUCAGUGAUAAUGACGGCGAUGGUUUACAUAAGAUGCAAGGGAUUGGUGUUGGUUUUUUAACUCGUGUUUUAGAAGUUGAUCUUAUUGAUGAAGUUGUCCAAGAAAUCGGCUGAAGAUGGAAUCGUUGGAAAGAUGUUUAUGAUUCAUACUUGGAGUAAAAAUUAUAUCCACAUAUCUUUCCCUUUCUCAAUAUAAAAAAGAGCAUUUUCAAUUAAUUGUCUUGAAAUUUGAUUUGUGUUGAUAAUCCACCAACCUAUAAGUUUGCAAAGGUGUCUACUAUGUCAUGACUUUUGUAGUGUUUUCAAGAAAACCUUUUUUCAUUUCGUUAUAAGUUGUAGAUCUGAAGUUACCCAAAUUCCCUAUUUUUAAACGAUAGUAUUAUACCAUAUGUUCUUGAAAUGGUAAAGCAUAAAAAAAACCAUGGAAUUCGACCCCAGGACAUGUCAAUUUGUAUGUUCUGUGUAAUUUUUUUUCUUGAACCUUUUUUGAAAAUUUUUAUAUUUUUUAAUGGACAUUUCCUGCAACUUUAUGUUA